AACUUUGCAUUUCGACAGUAGCCCCGAUGUUGAUAGCACAUGGCCGCGCAUCACGUGCAGCCAAUCACAAGAUGUUUGUAUAAAGGACGGAUUGGUGACCAGUUGUCAGCCAGUUGUUUAUUUAGUCGAGCGAUAUGCGUAACGGGCGUGAGUCAGACGCAGGUGUUCAAUUAGGUUAAAACCGAUACGUCAAUGACUAACGGCUAGUAUGCGGAUUACAAUACUUGAGAAAGAGAAUAAAAGAGAAUAAAAUAUGUAGAAAAAUAAAACAAAGAGUAAAAUGCAGACGUAAUAAAAAGUAAAAAGGAGUAGAUUUAAGAGAAAAAAGAUGUGGGCAUAAUAGGUAAAUGUAUUUGUAGGCCUUCGUUACAGUAGAAUUUGAGAUCAGUUGGUGAAGUACGUUUCUUUCAGAUUCCUGCCUCGCCUAACAAACGGUAUCCACUUGACUCAAUUAUUAUUCAGAAAAGAAGAGCACUUUGGUUAGCUUGUUGCCAUAAAGAAAAACCAUGCUACUACGGGGAUAACUAUCAUCCAGAUUGGGCUCAUUCAUUAAUACUGAACCAGUCUCCUUUAUUAUCAGCUGCAACACCUCUUCAUCAAGAAGAAUUUUUUCCAGCUACAAUAGAGAUUUUCAUUUUAAAAUGACUUCAAGUUCAACUCAAUCCAAGAAAACUUAUAUUUCUGACCCUGGUGAUUUUAGUGAAAUUUUAAGAUUUUAAAUCCAUCCGUCGAGAUCGCUAAUGUGUUACUUUUACCAUCUUACUUUUGUUUCUUUGGGUAUUAUUUAGUUGCGAAAUAGUUUCUAUUAUAUCCUAUAAUAUAAAACGUACUAUUCUGCGUUUCACAAAAAGCAUGAAGGUGCAAUCCACAUUCAAUAUAUUCUGGUCUAGAAGCCCCAUUCAUCCAUUGCAUUGGCUUUUCCGUUACAGACAGUUCUCUCUUUUGUGCACUGAUUUAUUCAGCUGAAAUUACACAGCACCUACAUGGCUACAGCAUUCAUUUAGACUGUGAGAAA